rnacentral:snRNA from 1 species
AUCGCUUCUUGGCCUUUGGCUAAGAUCAAAGUGUAGUAUCUGUUCUUAACAAAAUAUAAUUUUGUGCUUUUAGGAGAUCUCAACAUUCGUGUACUACUGUAUGCGGUUGAUAUUGUACUGAUUGCCGACAAGCCGGAGAUUUUACAGCAAAUGAUUAAUUCAUU